GUGUCAGCCGCCGCGGUAAAACGUAGGAGGCAAGCGUUAUCCGGAUUUACUGGGCGUAAAGCGCGUGCAGGUGGUCGUAUAAGUGGUGCGUGAAAGCUCCGAGGCUAAACCCGGAGAGGUCGUGCCAGACUGUAGGACUGGAGGGAGACAGAGGCAAGUAGAAUUCCGGGUGUAGUGGUGAAAUGCGUAGAGAUCCGGAGGAAUACCAGAGGCGAAGGCGACUUGCCAGGUCUCACCUGACACUCAGACGCGAAAGCAUGGGGAGCGAACGGGAUUAGAAACCCCAGUAGUCC
rnacentral:rRNA from 1 species